rnacentral:rRNA from 1 species
UACGUAGGGGGCUAGCGUUGUCCGGAAUCAUUGGGCGUAAAGCGCGUGUAGGCGGUCCGGUAAGUCCGCUGUGAAAGUCGGGGGGCUCAACCCUCGAAUGCCGGUGGAUACUGUCGGGCUAGGAGUGCGGAAGAGGCGAGUGGAAUUCCUGGUGUAGCGGUGAAAUGCGCAGAUAUCAGGAGGAACACCAAUUGCGAAGGCAGCUCGCUGGGACGUAACUGACGCUGAGACGCGAAAGCGUGGGGAGCAA